UACGUAGGGGGCAAGCGUUGUCCGGAAUCAUUGGGCGUAAAGAGCGUGUAGGCGGCCCGGUAAGUCCGCUGUGAAAGUCGAGGGCUCAACCCUCGAAUGCCGGCGGAUACUGUCGGGCUAGAGUCCGGGAGAGGCGAGUGGAAUUCCUGGUGUAGCGGUGAAAUGCGCAGAUAUCAGGAGGAACACCUGCGGCGAAGGCAGCUCGCUGGGACGGUACUGACGCUGAGACGCGAAAGCGUGGGGAGCAAACAGG
rnacentral:rRNA from 1 species